CUGGUAUGUUUAAAUUACGCGCCAUGUCAUGUUUUCGCUGUCGGUUAGUUGGUGGAUAUAUUAGGCAUUAUGGCAGCACUCCAUAAAGGGACCAGGAAGGGGUAUCUUCGGUCUUCUGUCACCAAACGUCGUAGCAAUGACGCGUGUGACGAGAAGAGGUUACUUUAACUUAUUCCUUUUCGCUGGGGCUUUUUGCAAAAGAAGGCUAAUAAUGAAACUUAAAUGGUCUAAAUAACAUUGUUAAGUUAAUUUAAAUUUCAUUUUUUUCUUUUUUAAAUGUGAUUAUUGAGUUAUUUUUGUGAAAGAUAACUAAUUAUUGCAACUUAUAUGCAGCUAAAGAUUUAUUUUGUUGAUCUGUACUAGUUUAAGUGUUUAAAUACUAAGUUUUCAUAAGAUUUCUAAGACUGUUCAGUUGGCUUUCAAGUUAAUGUAACAACCCAAUGUGAUAAAUAAAGAACAAAAGAUUUUGGUAUUUUUUCUUUUUGUCUGGCAAGCUUAAAUCAAUACUAUAAUAGCCCUAAAAUAUGACACCUGUAAAUAUUGGCAUUAACCAGAUACAAACAAUUUUUGGUCUGGGCGUUCAGUACUUUAUUAAUUAGUUCUAAUAUUAGGACAUUGGGUCAUCCUCGGAAGUCCCCUCUAUUAAACUGGGC
rnacentral:misc_RNA from 1 species